CCUACGGGUGGCAGCAGUGAGGAAUAUUGGUCAAUGGGCGCGAGCCUGAACCAGCCAAGUAGCGUGAAGGAUGACUGCCCUACGGGUUGUAAACUUCUUUUAUACAGGAAUAAAGUGAGGCACGUGUGCCUUUUUGUAUGUACUUUAUGAAUAAGGAUCGGCUAACUCCGUGCCAGCAGCCGCGGUAAUACGGAGGAUCCGAGCGUUAUCCGGAUUUAUUGGGUUUAAAGGGAGCGUAGAUGGGUUGUUAAGUCAGUUGUGAAAGUUUGCGGCUCAACCGUAAAAUUGCAAUUGAUACUGGCAGCCUUGAGUACAGUUGAGGUAGGCGGAAUGCGUGGGGUAGCGGUGAAAUGCAUAGAUAUCACGCAGAACUCCGAUCGCGAAGGCAGCCUACCGGCGCGCAACUGACGCUCAUGCACGAAAGCGUGGGUAUCAAACAGGAUUAGAUACCCCAGGAGUC
rnacentral:rRNA from 1 species